rnacentral:rRNA from 1 species
UACGUAGGUGGCAAGCGUUGUCCGGAAUUAUUGGGCGUAAAGCGCGCGCAGGCGGUCCUUUAAGUCUGAUGUGAAAGCCCACGGCUCAACCGUGGAGGGUCAUUGGAAGCUGGAGGACUUGAGUGCAGAAGAGGAAAGCGGAAUUCCACGUGUAGCGGUGAAAUGCGUAGAGAUGUGGAGGAACACCAGUGGCGAAGGCGGCUUUCUGGUCUGUAACUGACGCUGAGGCGCGAAAGCGUGGGGAGCAAACAGG